rnacentral:rRNA from 1 species
CACUGCUCUGACGGAUGCUUUUAUUAGACCAAGCCGCUGAGGACUUGAGGGUUCGCUCUCCUGUCUGACUCGUGUAAUGGUGACUCUGGAUAACCAAUUCUGACAAGCGCACGUACUUCUCUUCUGAGCGAGACGGCGCUGCCACUUUCGAGUGUCUGCCUUAUCAGCUAUCAACCGUUCGUUAUGCGCGACCGAUGGCUUUGACGGGUAACGGGGAAUCAGGGUUCGAUUCCGGAGAGGCAGCCUGAGAGACGGCUACCACGUCCAAGGACGGCAGCAGGCACGCAAAUUACCCAAUCCCAGCAAAUGGGGGAGGUAGUGACGAAAUCUAACGAUGCGGGCGCCCUUUCUGGGGCCCCGCAAUCGGAAUGGGCACUUUCUAAACAACCUGUUGAGAACCUACUGAAGGGCAAGUCUGGUGCCAGCAGCCGCGGUAAUUCCAGCUUCAGCAGCAUCUAUUAAAGUUGCUGCGGUUAAAAGGCUCGCAGUUGAAUGUCUGUAUCGAGCGCAGGUCAGGUGGACGUUGGGGCGUGGAAGUACGGGCAGUUGGAUGUCCGUGGGGUCUUCGUGCUCAACGGCUCCUUCGGCUUUUCCACACACCCCCGUCCGUGACAAGCCUCCUCGCUCGGGUACAUAACGGGAAUCGGUCAAACGGAGUGUGGUUGGAGGUUGGGGUGCGUGGCUUCUGUUGCGUGCUUCUUCUUUCGGCUGCGUUAAGCUCCAUCGGUUUCACGGUCACCUUGAGUUAAUCAGAGUGCUCAAAGCAGUCGUAGGGGCCUUGCGCCCUGUGAACAGUCUUGACGGACUGACUUGGUUUUGCAUGGCAUGUCGGAAGACGACGUCGUGUGCUGGCUCAGAGGAUAAUCAGUGGUACAAGCAGCCUCGACGUAAUGAUUAAAAGGGACGGUCGAGGGCAUUGGUAUUGCGAGGCGAGAGGUGAAAUUCUGUGACCCCCGCAAGACCUCCUGAAGCGAAAGCGUCUGCCAAGGACGUUUU